AAUUUAGUUCGCUAUACAUAUGCAUUCAUAGUGUUGUCAAAAUAAAAAAAAUUAUGUUAUAAAUUGUGACAAACACAUGCUUUUGCAUGUUGGUGGAAAAAUUAUUAUAUUUUUUUUAACUAUUUACAGAAUAUAUGUACUCCUAAAAACGAUGUUCCUCACUCAGCGAUCGAUAAUGAAAAUUCUACUGAUCUAAGGUCUCAGCAAGAUGAAAAUGGAAAUCAUAUUCCUCAAUCAAUGAUCGAUUCAAAUGACAAUUCCAUCGAUCUAAAAAAUGAACAUGAUGAAAAGACAACAACUAAUGUCAACAGCGAAAAAAGCAACAGAAAGCCUGCGCAGGAAAAGCCAAAGGCAAAUAUUGUAUCCUUAACUCAGAGAGCAGCAGUCCUAGCGCAGGCAAAUAAUUCAACAAUGUCUAGCGAAAUCCAAAAGGAGCUUGAUAAAACUAGGCAAGAAAUUGAAAAGGAAAGAAAAAGCCUCAAGCGCAAGCAACAAAUUGCAAAGCUCAAAAUAAAUACAGGCAGAAUAAACAACAAAAAUUGAGUUGCCUUGAGGAAAUUCCUGAAGCUAAAAGUUUUCGUACCCAACGAUCUACAGUUGGCAGACCCCCGAUUGAAGACGAUUAACCGCUUCUCCAUAAAACUAUUUUGGAGAUAGCCAUGUUUGGAAGUGGAGCUGAGGCGCACUAACCUUGUCAGAAGUGUAAAAAACCUUGUCUGAUCUCCAUGAAGAGUUCAAAGAAGAAGGGUUUAACUUGUCGAGAAGCGCAACCUAUCUAAGGCUUCGGCCACGCAUUGAGCGAUGAGCGACUGAGCGACGCUCUCUCGAGCGACGUAAAAUAUUAAAGCUUAUGAGAGAGCAUUGGAGUGGCCACGUAGCCGCUGAGCGACGAGCGAAGUUCUUGAGCGUCAGAGCGACGUCGCUCAGCGCUAGAAUUGGUUUUAAUUUUUAGUGCAUCGCUCAGCGACAAAAUGCAAACAAUGCAAAAAAAUAUGCGCGGAAAGUUUAAUUUCGGCUGUUCAAAGCCGAACCGUUUUAUGGAACGACAUUCAUAAAGAGUACAAAAAUAGAAAUACUACUGAUAAGGAAUGGAAUGAAGUAGGAGUUAUUUGUAACUGUACAGGAGCUGCAGCAAAGGCCAAAUGGAAAAAUUUAAAGGAUACAUAUAGAAGGACAUUGCAAAAACUACCACGCCUACCAUCAGGAUCCGAAGCUCAAACAUUUAAUGUUAAAUGGCCAUACUUGGAGCUGAUGUCUUUUUUAAAAAAGACAGUUGCUCCAGAUCCGACUGAGGGCAAUUUGCAGCAGGACGAUGAAAGCAUGAAUGACAUGCUUUCAGAUAUGCUUCAUGAAGAUGAAAGCAAUAUGUCUAUGAUGUCAACAACAUCUACAAGUAUGGUCGCAAAAUCUACGCCCAGAAAAAGAAAAAUUAAUAUGGA